UCCUGGUGCUGGGAGUCCGAAUCCUCAGCCUAGUGGUGCCAGAGUUUCCUGUGGCCACUGUGGAAACACUUUUCUGUGGACAGAAUUUACAGAUCGGACAUUGGCUCGCUGUCCACACUGCAGAAAAGUUUCAUCGAUUGGCCAGAGGUACCCUAGAAAGCGGAGUUUGAUAUGUUUCCUGCUGUGCUUGAUCUGCAUUAUAACGACUGCAGGAUUGAUU